rnacentral:rRNA from 1 species
AUGGGGUGCAGCAGGCGCGAAAACUCCGCAAUGGGCGAAAGCCUGACGGGGGGACCCCAAGUGCCGUUGGCUUUUAGUCGACGGCUUUUCUGGAUUCCAAAUAGCUCUAGGAAUAAGGGCUGGGCAAGUCGGGUGCCAGCCGCCGCGGUAAUACCCGCAGCCCGAGUGGUCGCCGCGUUUAUUGGGCCUAAAGCGCUCGUAGCCGGACUGGCAAGUCUUUCGUGAAAUCGGCCAGGAGACUGGUCGGCGUGCGGGGGAUACUGCUGGUCUAGAGGCCGGGAGACGCCGAGGGUACUCCGGGGGUAGCGGUGAAAUGCUGUAAUCCCUGGGGGACCACCAGUGGCGAAGGCGCUCGGCGAGAACAGACCUGACGGUGAGGGGCGAAGGCCAGGGGAGCGAACGGGAUUAGAUACCCCGGUAGUCCUGGCUGUAAAGGAUGCGGGCUGUGUGUCGGGUGCUCUCAGAGAGUACUCGGUGCCGUGGGGAAGCCGUUAAGCCCGCCGCCUGGGAAGUACGGCCGCAAGGCUGAAACUUAAAGGAAUUGGCGGGGGAGCACA